rnacentral:misc_RNA from 1 species
AAAAAAAAAAAAAAAAAACACUCUACCACCUCAGAGUUUUUGAGUGUAAGUGUGACAAACAGUCCCCUAAGUUACUUGCAAGGCUAAUAUGAGACAUUGAUUGAAUAAGAAAAUGCAGAAAAUUGGACAUAAUACGGUGCAAGACACACAUAAAGCGUUUGAAGGAAACCUAACUAAAUUCUCCAUCUUUUUUAAUAAUUUAUAUAAGAACAAAUGAUUCAUGCAUUCUAACCAAGUUGAUACAUUCAACAAACAAAACCAAAAUGGUGAAUUGAAGAACCAACUGGAGAUUUCUUAAUUGGCACAUUAGGACAUAUUUUCAGGUGAACAUCAUGAGUUCAACACCACGGGAAAAAUCCCAAAGAACCAAAAUCGCACAAAACACACAUACUAUCGCACCCCCAUUCAGAGAAGAGAGAGUCAUAAAUGAUGCUCCAAAAUACAAAAGACAGGCUACAAAAUAUGGGGUUCAAAAAAGCAUGCAAUAGAUACGUUCUGGCUCUAGACUUAAACAUCAUAUCACCCACGCUAUAGAAUAAACUCACUCCACUGCAAAAAUGUAAAGAGUGGCUGCUUUUAGCAAAUGUAUGUGAUGUCAUAAAAAUAAGGAUAAUAAUACUACAGUAAGGCAUGGAGAAGACUAUAACAGCUAAUCCAAAAUAUUAUAUGUCGAAUCAGGCAGCUACUCAAUCAAGAAAACUUUCAUAAAAAAAGCUGACAAUCUAAUCGUCUUUAUCCUUGAAGUAAAAGGAACUUCAUACACAGAAGAUUCAUGAAUAAGAAAUUUUGCUUAUAAUAAAUGGCAUGCAUUUGCUUCAAUACAAUCCACAGAUCAAUGCGGAACAUCACAAUGAACUCCCAUCACAAUUCUCGUACGCCAUUAAAUUUAAUCAGAACCCUUCUCUUAAAGUAAUUAAGUUCCCUGAUAAUCUAAAAGCUAAUCCUUCUCCCGGGAAUAAAUACAAAUAUUAAUAAACUAAAGCAUUGGCAUUUAACAAAUAAAACAAAACAAUCAAUUAACUAAUCAGUGAAAUAAAACUUUCAUAGAACACACAGUCACAUGCCCCUCCUUUGAUAAGUUGCUUGAACCAAACCCAGGUAUCAAAUCAUCAAAACCUACAGAUCCAUUCUGGCUAGGGGUCUUCGUUUUUCCACCAAAGG